GCCACGGUCUCCGACGGGGCCACUCCCUUAUCUGCCACUCCAACAUCUGCCUCCGUCCCCGACGGAGCCACUCCCACAUCUGCCACAGUCUCCGUCCUCGACGGGGCCACUCCCUCAUCUGCCUCCGUCUCCCUCCCCGACGAGCCCCCCUCCUUUGUCACUACUCCCGUCCUAUCGCGCUCCACGGAUAAAAUAAACGAUUCCCAUGCAUCAUCAUCAUGUAUGUAUGAC
rnacentral:lncRNA from 1 species